rnacentral:rRNA from 1 species
GACGAACGCUGGCGGCAUGCCUAAUACAUGCAAGUCGAGCGAACAGAUGAAGUGCUUGCACUUCUGACGUUAGCGGCGAACGGGUGAGUAACACGUAAGGAAUCUACCUAUAAGCGGGGGAUAACAUUCGGAAACGGGUGCUAAUACCGCAUAAUAUCUUCUUCCGCAUGGAAGAAGAUUGAAAGACGGCUCUGCUGUCACUUAUAGAUGACCUUGCGGUGCAUUAGUUAGUUGGUGGGGUAAUGGCCUACCAAGACAAUGAUGCAUAGCCGACCUGAGAGGGUGAUCGGCCACACUGGGACUGAGAGACGGCCCAAACACCUACGGGAGGCAGCAGUAGGGAAUCUUCCGCAAUGGGCGAAAGCCUGACGGAGCAAUGCCGCGUGAGUGAAGAAGGCCUUCGGGUCGUAAAACUCUGUUAUAAGAGAAGAACAAAUUGUAGAGUAACUGCUACAGUCUUGACGGUAUCUUAUCAGAAAGCCACGGCUAACUACGUGCCAGCCGCCGCGGUAA